rnacentral:sRNA from 1 species
CACCAGGUCGCCAUCCAUACGCUCUGGAACAUCCGCAUCGUGGUGCUGGCCAAGCCUGAGCAUGAGAACCGGAUCAGCCACAUCUGUACUGACAACGUGAAGACAGGCAUUGCAAACACACUGGUUCCCAGGUGAUGUGCAGCUGCUGGUCCAGGGAACAUCCUUUGGGAACCACUGACCUGGAAUAGAUCAGAACGUUGGCAGAAAAAGGGAACAAGGGAGCCGUGGGGGUGUCGUUCAUGUUCAAUGGAACCUCUUUAGGGUUCGUCAACAGCCACUUGACUUCGGGAAGUGAAAAGAAACUCAGGCGAAACCAAAACUAUAUGAACAUUCUCCGGUUCCUGGCCCUGGGCGACAAGAAGCUGAGUCCCUUUAACAUCACUCACCGCUUCACGCACCUCUUCUGGUUUGGGGAUCUUAACUACCGUGUGGAUCUGCCUACCUGGGAGGCAGAAACCAUCAUCCAGAAAAUCAAGCAGCAGCAGUACGCAGACCUCCUGUCCCACGACCAGCUGCUCACAGAGAGG